CUGCCAUUAUAACGGGAGUGGGGAGGUUGUCCCACAAGUGCUGGUCUGGAUGGUGCUGUCGCUGGGGCAGGAGCAAUAACUGGAAACGGUUGCGGGUUGGGUUUUGCAUACCCUCGGUUAUUAUUUUUAUGAUGCCUCCUAGCAUCAUAAUGUUGGUCGGCCAAUCGUGCCGCUUCGGUUAGGGUGUGAGGAUUUCAGUCAUUCACCCAUUCUUGAGCCUCUGGUGCCAGGCCAUUACAAAACUGCUCCAGUAGCAACAUCUGGCGUAACUCUUCCAUGGUGGUAGCUCUGCUGGCUUGUAUCCAGC